rnacentral:lncRNA from 1 species
CCCCGCUCAUCUCAGGAGCCCAGCUGACUUCCCCCAGUGGAUCGUUUUAGGGCUGCAGGCGGAGCUGCCCACCACUCCUAUACUGUGGCGAGGGGCAGGGAGCAUCUGUCGGGGAGCCCAAGGCAGGUCCUUCAGGAGGGAUUCCAGAAGAAGGCAUUGUUAUCAUAGGAGAUGACAGCUCCAUGCCUGUUUGUGCCCGUGAAGACCUCCCAGUGGGACAAGAUGUGGAGGUGGAAGACAAUAAUAUUGAUGAUCCUGACCUGUGUAAAGGCCAAGCCUACACAGCGUUAACUGCAGUGGAAGAUUGUGCUUUUAUCAGAAGCAGCUGAACACCUGAGGACAGGAACAUGGCUGAAGCAAUUCAUUUCUCCAAUUCACUUUGUUCUACUUUAUCAUCAUCAUUCCGGUAUUAUCAUCAUGUUCAUCAGAUUCUCCAUCUAAAAAAGAUUUAUCACAGUGUCUGCAUCUGCAGGCGAUACUACAAUAUAGAUAAAACCAUUGCUCCCUGCCUGCUCCGGAUGAGUUUGCAAAGAGGUAUGGUAUAGAAGAAACACUUUGUGCUUUGAAGCAAGACAAAACUGAGUUAAAAUGGCAAUCUUAGCCUGGGCAACAUAGUGAGACCCCCAUCUCUGCAAAAAAUACAAAAAUUAGCUGAGCAUGGUGGUGCAUCUGUAGUCCCAGCUACUCGGUAGGCUAAGGCAGGAGAAUCGUCCGAACUUGGGAAAUUGAGGCUACAGUGAGCCAUGAUCGUGCCACUGCACUCCAGCCUGGGUGACAGAGAGAGACCCUGUCUCAAAAAAAUAAAAAAUAAAAUUGCG